rnacentral:rRNA from 1 species
UACGUAGGGUGCAAGCGUUAAUCGGAAUUACUGGGCGUAAAGCGUGCGCAGGCGGUUAUGUAAGACAGAUGUGAAAUCCCCGGGCUUAACCUGGGAAUUGCGUCUGUGACUGCAUGGCUGGAGUACGGUAGAGGGGAAUGGAAUUCCGCGUGUAGCAGUGAAAUGCGUAGAUAUGCGGAGGAACACCGAUGGCGAAGGCAAUUCCCUGGACCUGUACUGACGCUCAUGCACGAAAGCGUGGGGAGCAAACAGG